GAUGAACGCUGGCGGCGUGCUUAACACAUGCAAGUCGAACGAAGCACUUUAUUUGAUUUCCUUCGGGACUGAUUAUUUUGUGACUGAGUGGCGGACGGGUGAGUAACGCGUGGGUAACCUGCCUUGUACAGGGGGAUAACAGUUGGAAACGGCUGCUAAUACCGCAUAAGCGCACGGCAUCGCAUGAUGCAGUGUGAAAAACUCCGGUGGUAUAAGAUGGACCCGCGUUGGAUUAGCUAGUUGGUGAGGUAACGGCCCACCAAGGCGACGAUCCAUAGCCGACCUGAUAGGGUGACCGGCCACAUUGGGACUGAGACACGGCCCAAACUCCUACGGGAGGCAGCAGUGGGGAAUAUUGCACAAUGGGCGAAAGCCUGAUGCAGCGACGCCGCGUGAGCGAAGAAGUAUUUCGGUAUGUAAAGCUCUAUCAGCAGGGAAGAUAAUGACGGUACCUGACUAAGAAGCACCGGCUAAAUACGUG
rnacentral:rRNA from 1 species